CAAUUAUUUAAGGGAUUUCUGAAUGUUCUCUUCUGAUUUAUAGAAUAUGAUUUUACGGGGCAAACAUUUCCAGAAGAAUUGAAUGUUCAGACGAAGACUGUGAUAAAUA